UUUACAUUCAGAGGCUGAAACUUUAACUUUUUAAACAGUGUACAUUUAUUGUUCAAUACACCACAUGAAGGUUAAGAAACAUUUAUUAUGGUCCAUGAACAGGUCAGCUUUAGUUCUGAUGUUGAGAGACUGUCCAGUGUCUGCCAUCUUCCAUUCAGGUGUCCACAGCUUGCCCAGUUAGAAGCGCAGUCAUCUGAUUGAGGUUGGAGGCAUUUCUCCGCCGAUGGAUGUUUCAGUCAUCUGAAGAGGCUUUGACAGAGGCACAACUGACAAUGAUGAGGGCUUACUUUGACCUCUGCCUCAUCUUUCGCCUUUUACGCUUCAGCCUGUCAAGAACCCAACACACAGCAGUUUUAGGCUAAAUACAGGAGUUAAUCACAGCUCUAGACAAACAGAAACAAAUUUUUAACAAAAGACCCUACGCCUGCCAGUUAUUUAAGGCUAGGGCCCGACCAAUAUGGAUUUUUUUGGGGCCGAUGCAUAUUAGGGGAAAAAAAAAAAAAAAGAUUACCAAUUAAAAUCGACAAAUUUUAAACUGCUCUUAACGCCUACAGAAAGACCGACUGAUAAAACUCGGACCAGAAAAGCGUUUUCAAAUAGUUGGUGGAUGAAGACUGUCAAGAGGUCGCUGCGCCAUCUACAGGAUAAGUCGGAACUUUUCAAAUGGCGGAACAAUUUUGAGGUGAAACAUAAUUUUAUUUGCCGCAUUUUAUUUCUGAAAAUACCAGCAAAAAUCGGCGAGUUUUGGCUGAUUACGGAUAAGUCUCCAACUGGCUACAAUUGGCUGAUUUAAUCGUCUCGCCAAUAAAUCGGUCGGGCCCGAUUUAGGACAGAUAUUUAAGUUAUUUAAGCCAGUUCUUUAAGCCUGCCAGUUACUUAUGUAUUAUUUUCAGGUGUCGUCACCAAUUCUGGGGUUUUCCACCUUAUCUAUACAACAAUUGAACCCACAGCAAUUUACAUGGCGCAGCUUUUACAGUCUUUGUCAGCGUUUUAUGGAACAGUUAAUGACAAAUUCUGAGUUAAGUUUCAGCCAGACAGCUUCUUGGUCACCUUGCAAAGGUUUCAGAGGUUAUUUCAGAUUCAUGUGGAGGAACUAACUGGUCGUAUGAUAUCUGACAAGAUUUCACACCAUCAAGCCUGUCUUACAAAAACUAAGCAUCUUUAAAAAUAAUUUUCUCAUAGUCAGCUUAAGAAUAACAUGCUUUACACUAUACAUCAGUUCUGCUAUUUUAUGAACUGAUUCCUGACACAUUAGACUGAAGUUGGGGUCUCAAACUUCAUGUGCAAAGCUCUUCCAUGUCAGACUUGACCAUAGGAUAGAUUACUAUGAAGAUACAUUUAACAGACCACCAUAAUGAACUCAAGCAUUGUAAAUAGCACCACUGAGUUAAAUGUCACUUCAGUUUAGUUUUUGUUUCACCAUCAUAUGCACCAGAAGCCUGUACACCGGAUCUUUAGUGGAGUGCAUGGAAAAUAUCACAUGUGAGGCAACUGAGUAUGAAUACAAAUAAACGAGUUCUUACCUGCGCAUGCGCUUCUUCCUCCACUAUAAUGACAAAAAAAGCAUUUUAGUCAACAAUUAUCAGUCAUACUUCACAUGUCUGGCCCCCUAUUUAACAAAUUUACUGAUCAAUAUCACGUGGUGGUACCCAUAAACUACAUAGACCAUAGAACAGCACACCUAGGUUAGGGUACGGCAUUGCUAACACUACAGCGUGCAUUAAAGCGGGAACUUUAGCAGCAACAUUAUGAACUGAACCCUAAUUUUAAGAGAAAAAUUGAUUCAAGGGUUAAACAGGAGUAAUAUAGUUAAAGAAAACUGCAGAAAAGACAAAAUAGGGAGCAUAAUUCUAAUCCUAACGCCGAGGGACUGUGUAGAGCAGCCCAUUAGCAGUGAUUCAGUUGUUAGCUAGUAGCAUUAACUGAAUCAGGAAAUAACUUUGAAGGAUUGGUCAACUCACCUUGGCUCUCAUCGUGUGGAGAAGUUUCUGUGAAAAUAAGACAGAUUGGACCGUUAAUGGCUGUGGAUGACUUAGAAAAUGUGGUGAUUGAUUAGGAUUGAGUAUGCAGUGAAGUGGUUUUCCGUACCUCAAAGCGAGAAGAGCAACGGAAAGAG
rnacentral:lncRNA from 1 species